GUUUUGCUGCUAUCCUGCUGCUGCUGCUGCUGCUGCUGCAGCAUCUGCUGCUGCUGCUGCAGCAGCAACUGCUGCUGCUGCUGCUGCUGCUGUUGCAGCAUCUGCUGCUGCUGCUGCAGCAGCAACUGCUGCUGCUGCUGCUGUUGCAGCAUCUGCUGCUGCUGCUGCAGCAGCAACUGCUGCUGCUGCUGCUGCUGCUGUUGCAGCAGCAGCAAAGCAGCAG
rnacentral:sRNA from 1 species